rnacentral:rRNA from 1 species
GUGCCAGCAGCCGCGGUAAUACCGGCAGCCCGAGUGAUGGCCGAUUUUAUUGGGCCUAAAGCGUCCGUAGCUGGCUGCGCAAGUCCAUCGGAAAAUCCACCCGCUCAACGGGUGGGCGUCCGGUGGAAACUGCGUGGCUUGGGACCGGAAGGCGCGACGGGUACGUCCGGGGUAGGAGUGAAAUCCCGUAAUCCUGGACGGACCGCCGAUGGCGAAAGCACGUCGCGAGGACGGAUCCGACAGUGAGGGACGAAAGCCAGGGUCUCGAACCGGAUUAGAUACCCGCGUAGUC